rnacentral:rRNA from 1 species
GAGUCAUUGGGACUCUAUUAAACCUAAAGGCGCAAUGAAAGUAAAGGUCAGCCUCGCGCAGACCGAGGGAGGAUGGGCCCGUCUACGGGCGGGCCUCGCACUCCCGGGGCGUCUCGUUCUCAUCGCGAGAGGAGGCGCACCCAGAGCGUAUACGCUGGGACCCGAAAGAUGGUGAACUAUGCCUGGUCAGGACGAAGUCAGGGGAAACCCUGAUGGAGGUCCGUAGCGAUUCUGACGUGCAAAUCGAUCGUCGGAACUGGGUAUAGGGGCGAAAGACUAAUCGAACCUUCUAGUAGCUGGUUCCCUCCGAAGUUUCCCUCAGGAUAGCUGGCGCUCGCCUUUGCGAGUCUCAUUCGGUAAAGCGAAUGAUUAGAGGCAUUGGGGUCGAAACGGCCUCAACCUAUUCUCAAACUUUAAAUGGGUGAGAUCUCCGGCUUGCUUAAAGCAUGAAGCCGCGAGAUAUCGGAUCAGAGUGCCAAGUGGGCCACUUUUGGUAAGCAGAACUGGCGCUGUGGGAUGAACCAAACGCAGAGUUAAAGCGCCAAAAUCGACGCUUAUGGGAUACCAUGAAAGGCGUUGGUAA